UAGCAAGUGGCAGUGAUGGCAUUUACUCAAGGAGGAUCAUAACAUUAAUUACCUCAGUUCAGAUGAGUAGACAAAAAGUCCAUGGCCUGAGGCUAAGCUGAGAAAGUAAGGCAAAGGUAAGAAGGAAGAGGCAACUUGAUGGAAGAACCAGGGGAAGCCUUAAAUUCCAACCCGUUGUUUUACUAGAGAGGCUGAAGAACCGCAGGUAUUCUCAGAAUUUCCCAAAUUUUAUCUAGACUUGAUGUUUUCAACCCUUCCUUGACAAAAGAAGAAGCCAAAGUCUAUGGGGAGCCCCCAAUAGCUCAGAAUGCAACUGUGUUUGGAGAUAUGUCCUUACCUAAGUAAGGUGAAACGAAGUCAUAUGCGUGGGCCCUAAUCCAGUAUGACUGACAUCAUUACAAGAAGAGGAAACAGAAGAGAAUACAGAUACAGAAAGAAGACCAUGUGAAGAUACUGGAAGAAUAUGGCUAUGAUGGUUAAUUGUAUGUGUCAACUUCAGUGGGAUAUGGGAUGCCCAGACUAAACAUUGUUUUGGGGUGUGUCUCUGAGUGUACUUCCAGAUAAGAUUAGCAUUUGAAUUGGUGGACUCAGUAAAGCAGAUUGCCCUCUCCAAUGUGGUUGGGUAUUGGUUAAUCUGCUGAAGGCCUGAUUAAAACAAAAGGUGGGAGAAGAGAAAUUCUCCCCAUUUUCCUGCCUCACUGCUUGAGCUGGGACAUUUCAUCUCAUCUUCUGCUGCCCUUGAACUUGUGUUUACAUCAUCAGCUCUCCCGGUUCCCAGACUUUUUCACUGGGACUGAAUAACAACAUCGGCUUUCCUGAGUCUCCAGCAUGCAUGAGCCAAUUCCUCAUUUUUAUAUAAUGAAGAAAAUAUAUAAUGAAGGAUAUGUACAUUGAAUACACACUACAUACGACAUUCAUAAUAUAUUAUACAUGCAAUUAAUAUGUGUCAUAACAUACAUAUGUAGUAUAUCCUAUUGGUUCUCUUUCUCUGUAAAACCCUAAUACAAUGGUCAUUACAAACUAGGGAGAAAAACUUUCUGAAUAAUUUUUAGCCUCCAGAACUAUGAGGAAAUAAAUUUCUAUUUUUUAGCCACCCAAUCUGUGGUACUUGGUUAUGGCAGCCCUAGCAAACUAAUACAUCUGCUUUGCAUAAUUUCUGUCAAGAAGUCUAAAAUUAUUCCCCUCUUUAUUGUCCAAUAUGUAGUGUAUCCAUUUUUUUCUCUAGCUGCAUUUAAGAAUUUCUCUUUAUGACUUUUUUAGCAAGUAGAUUAUGGUUUUCUUUGAACUUAAACUGUGCAGUAUGUGUUAAGCUUAUAGAUUUCAUCAAAUUUGGAAAAAUUGAACAUUAUUAUUGAAAUAUUUUUAAUCACCCACACUCACUGUUUUUUUUUCUUUUUCUGGAACUCCAACUAUACAAACAUUAGAUUGCUUAAUAUUGGACCAUAGGUCACUGACUCUCUGUAUUUUUUUUUCUUUUUUUUCUCUGUAUUGUAGUUUGUUCAGUUUCUAUGUCUUUAAUUUUAGUGGUCUUUUCCUCUGCAUUAUCUGUCAUUAACCAUGUCUAAUUUUUUUUAAAUUUCAGAUGUUAUAUUUUUUGGCUCUACAAAUACCAUUUUUUAUGUCUCACAUUUCUUUCUUUGUGACGUUUAAUUUUUAAAAGAUAUUGAGUGAAUAUGUAAUAACUUAAAGACUUUGCUAAUUCUACCACCAUUUUCAUUUCUGGAUCUGUUUCUAGUGACUGAUUUUUUUUUCUUCCUAGAUAAUGGCUGCAAUGUCUUGCUUCAUUGAAUCCUUAGUAAUUUUUUAUUGCGUACUGAACAUCUCAACAUCG
rnacentral:lncRNA from 10 species